AGUUGUGAUGGGUGCUGCAGAGGAAAACCAUGGCAUGCAAUGAAAGUGAAACUAAUGAAGAACGGUCAUACAUGAUACUACACAUGCCAAUUGGAAAUUGCAUGAUCUCAUAGAGGAGGAAGUAUCAUUAUCAAUAGACAUUUCUGAAGUGUUCUCGUGAAUGGACAAGGCUAGACAUCCUUGAAUGGACCUUAAAAGGACAGUAUCUGCUGGAAAUUGAUAUAGGUGAGAAGAAUGAGUCCUACAGUUUUGAAGUUGUGGUGUAUAAUUGCAAAACUGGUA